rnacentral:rRNA from 1 species
CCUACGCGUGGCAGCAGUGAGGAAUAUUGGUCAAUGGGCGCGAGCCUGAACCAGCCAAGUAGCGUGAAGGAUGACUGCCCUACGGGUUGUAAACUUCUUUUAUAAAGGAAUAAAGUGAGGCACGUGUGCCUUUUUGUAUGUACUUUAUGAAUAAGGAUCGGCUAACGCCGUGCCAGCAGCCGCGGUAAUACGGAGGAUUCGAGCGUUAUCCGGAUUUAUUGGGGUUAAAGGGUGCGUAGAUGGGUUGUUAAGUCAGUUGUGAAAGUUUGCGGCUCAACCGUAAAAUUGCAAUUGAUACUGGCAGUCGUGAGUACAGUUGAGGUAGGCGGAAUGCGUGGUGUAGCGGUGAAAUGCUUAGAUAUCACGAAGAACUCCGAUUGCGAAGGCAGCUUGCUAAACUGCCACUGACAUUGAUGCUCGAAAGUGUGGGUAUCAAACAGGAUUAGAUACCCCAGUAGUC